rnacentral:rRNA from 1 species
GCCCGCUCAGAAACUACAAAGGAAGUUGACGGGGCCCGCACAAGCGGUGGAGCAUGUGGUUAAUUCGAAGCAACGCGAAGAACCUUACCUGGUCUUGACAUCCCGGAGACCCUUAGGAAACUAGGGGGUGCUUCCAUCUGGAAGAAUCUGGAGACAGGUGCUGCAUGGCUGUCGUCAGCUCGUGUCGUGAGAUGUUGGGUUAAGUCCCGCAACGAGCGCAACCCUUGCCUUUAGUUGCCAGCAGUUCGGCUGGGCACUCUAAAGGGACUGCCGGUGUUAAACCGGAGGAAGGUGGGGAUGACGUCAAGUCCUCAUGGCCUUUAUGACCAGGGCUACACACGUACUACAAUGGCCGAUACAAAGGGCAGCGACACUGCGAGGUGAAGCCAAUCCCGUAAAAUCGGUCUCAGUCCGGAUUGGAGUCUGCAACUCGACUCCAUGAAGUUGGAAUCGCUAGUAAUCGUGGAUCAGCAUGCCACGGUGAAUACGUUCCCGGGCCUU